rnacentral:rRNA from 1 species
UACAGAGGUGCCAAGCGUUAGGCGGAAUCACUUGGGCUUAAAGCGCGUGUAGGCGGGUCGUUAAGUGUCCGCGUUGAAAUCCCACGGCUACAACCGUGGAACUGCCGGGCAUACUGGCGAUCUUGAGGCAUUCAGGGGCGAGCGGAACAAAUGGUGGAGCGGUGAAAUGCGUAGAUAUCAUUUGGAACGCCAAUGGUGAAAACAGCUCGCUGGGAAUGAUCUGACGCUGAGACGGCGAAAGCCAGGGAGCGAACGGG